rnacentral:rRNA from 1 species
UGGGGAAUAUUGCACAAUGGGCGAAAGCCUGAUGCAGCAACGCCGCGUGAGGGAAGACGGUUUUCGGAUUGUAAACCUCUGUCUUCGGUGAAGAAAAAAAUGACGGUAGCCGAGGAGGAAGCUCCGGCUAACUACGUGCCAGCAGCCGCGGUAAUACGUAGGGAGCAAGCGUUGUCCGGAAUUACUGGGUGUAAAGGGAUCGUAGGCGGGAAGACAAGUCAGCUGUGAAAUACAUGGGCUUAACCCAUGAACUGCAGUUGAAACUGUUUUCUGGAGUGAAGUAGAGGCAGGCGGAAUUCCGAGUGUAGCGGUGAAAUGCGUAGAUAUUCGGAGGAACACCAGUGGCGAAGGCGGCCUGCUGGGCUUUAACUGACGCUGAGGCUCGAAAGUGUGGGGAGCAAACA